GAUCCUGGCUCAGAAUCAACGCUGGCGGCGUGCCUCAGACAUGCAAGUCGAACGAUUAAAGCUCCCUUCGGGGAGUGCAUAAAGUGGCGCACGGGUGAGUAACACGUAAGUAAUCUACCCUCGGGCGGGGAAUAACAACCGGAAACGGUUGCUAAUACCGCAUAAUGCAGCGGCACCGCAAGGUGACAGUUGUUAAAGGAGCAAUCCACCUGAGGAGGAGCUUGCGGCAGAUUAGCUUGUUGGUAAGGUAACGGCUUACCAAGGCUACGAUCUGUAUCCGGUCUAAGAGGACGGUCGGACACACUGACACUGAAUAACGGGUCAGACUCCUACGGGAGGCAGCAGUCGGGAAUUUUGGGCAAUGGGGGAAACCCUGACCCAGCAACGCCGCGUGAAGGAUGAAGUAUUUCGGUAUGUAAACUUCGAAAGAAUAGGAAGAAUUAAUGACGGUACUAUUUAUAAGGUCCGGCUAACUACGUGCCAGCAGCCGCGGUAAUACGUAGGGACCAAGCGUUGUUCGGAUUUACUGGGCGUAAAGGGCGCGUAGGCGGCGUGGUAAGUCACUUGUGAAAUCUCUGAGCUUAACUCAGAACGGCCAAGUGAUACUGCUGUGCUUGAGUGUGGAAGGGGCAAUCGGAAUUCUUGGUGUAGCGGUGAAAUGCGUAGAUAUCAAGAGGAACACCUGAGGUG
rnacentral:rRNA from 1 species